rnacentral:snoRNA from 1 species
UGGAUCGAUGAUGAGUACGUGUGGGGCAUCUGAAUAGGACAUUUUGAUUAAACCCUAACUGUAACUCUGAGGUCCAU